AGAGUUUGAUCCUGGCUCAGAGUGAACGCUGGCGGCAGGCCUAAUACAUGCAAGUCGAACGGCAGCACAGCAGAGCUUGCUCUGUGGGUGGCGAGUGGCGGACGGGUGAGGAAUACGUGGGAAUCUGCCCAGUCGUGGGGGAUAACGUAGGGAAACUUACGCUAAUACCGCAUGCGCCCUUCGGGGGAAAGCCGGGGACCUUCGGGCCUGGCGCGAUUGGAUGAGCCCACGUCGGAUUAGCUAGUUGGCGGGGUAAAGGCCCACCAAGGCGACGAUCCGUAGCUGGUCUGAGAGGAUGAUCAGCCACACUGGAACUGAGACACGGUCCAGACUCCUACGGGAGGCAGCAGUAGGGAAUAUUGGACAAUGGGCGCAAGCCUGAUCCAGCCGUGCCGCGUGAGUGAAGAAGGCCCUCGGGUUGUAAAGCUCUUUUGUCCGGAAAGAAAAGCGCCGGGUUAAUACCCUGGUGUCCUGACGGUACCGGAAGAAUAAGCACCGGCUAACUUCGUG
rnacentral:rRNA from 1 species